rnacentral:rRNA from 1 species
GAUGAACGCUGGCGGCGUGCCUAAUACAUGCAAGUCGAGCGAACAGACGAGGAGCUUGCUCCUCUGACGUUAGCGGCGGACGGGUGAGUAACACGUGGAUAACCUACCUAUAAGACUGGGAUAACUUCGGGAAACCGGAGCUAAUACCGGAUAAUAUAUUGAACCGCAUGGUUCAAUAGUGAAAGACGGUCUUGCUGUCACUUAUAGAUGGAUCCGCGCCGCAUUAGCUAGUUGGUAAGGUAACGGCUUACCAAGGCAACGAUGCGUAGCCGACCUGAGAGGGUGAUCGGCCACACUGGAACUGAGACACGGUCCAGACUCCUACGGGAGGCAGCAGUAGGGAAUCUUCCGCAAUGGGCGAAAGCCUGACGGAGCAACGCCGCGUGAGUGAUGAAGGUCUUCGGAUCGUAAAACUCUGUUAUUAGGGAAGAACAUAUGUGUAAGUAACUAUGCACGUCUUGACGGUACCUAAUCAGAAAGCCACGGCUAACUACGUG